rnacentral:rRNA from 1 species
AAUGAACGCUGGCGGUAUGCCUAACACAUGCAAGUCGAACGGCAGCACAGUAAGAGCUUGCUCUUGCGGGUGGCGAGUGUCGGACGGUUCAGUAAUACUUCGGAAUCUACUUUUUCGGGGGUGCUAACGUAGGGAAACUUACGCUGAUACCGCAUACUACCUCCGUGGAUGAGCAGGCGAUCUUAAGACCUAUCGCCAUUGAAUGAGCCCAUGUCGGCUUAGCUAGUUAGCAGGGUAAAGGCCUACCAAGGCGACGAUCCAUAGCUGGUCUGAGAGGAUGAUCAGCCACACUGGGACUGAGACACGGCCCAGACUCCUACGGGAGGCAGCAGUGGGGAAUAUUGGACAAUGGGCGAAAGCCUGAUCCAGCAAUGCCGCGUGAGUGAUGAAGGCCUUAGGGUUGUAAAGCUCUUUUACCCGGGAUGAUAAUGACAGUACCGGGAGAAUAAGCUCCGGCUAACUCCGUG